rnacentral:tRNA from 1 species
GGAGAGAUGGCCGAGUGGUCGAAGGCGCAGCAUUGGAAAUGCUGUGUACUUAACGGUACCGUGGGUUCAAAUCCCACUCUCUCCG